GACGUAGGAGACAAACGUUAUCCGGAGUUACUGGGCGUAAAGGGCGGGUAGGGGGUUGGGUAAGUUUGGCGUGAAAUUUUUCGGCUUAACCGGGAAAGGUGGUCGGAUACUGCUUGACUGGAGGACGGUAGAGGCGUGUGGAAUUCCGGGUGUAGUGGUGAAAUGCGUAGAGAUCCGGAGGAACACCAGUGGCGAAGGCGACACGCUGGGCCGUACCUGACACUGAUGCGCGACAGCAUGGGGAGCAAACAGG
rnacentral:rRNA from 1 species